UACGAAGGGGGCUAGCGUUGCUCGGAAUCACUGGGCGUAAAGGGUGCGUAGGCGGGUCUUUUAAGUCAGGGGUGAAAUCCUGGAGCUCAACUCCAGAACUGCCUUUGAUACUGAGGAUCUUGAGUUCGGGAGAGGUGAGUGGAACUGCGAGUGUAGAGGUGAAAUUCGUAGAUAUUCGCAAGAACACCAGUGGCGAAGGCGGCUCACUGACCCGAUACUGACGCUGAGGCACGAAAGCGUGGGGAGCAAACAGGG
rnacentral:rRNA from 1 species